rnacentral:rRNA from 1 species
UACGAGGGGGGCGAGCGUUGUUCGGAAUUAUUGGGCGUAAAGGGUGCGUAGGCGGUUUGGUAAGUCUUAUGUGAAAUCUAUGGGCUCAACUCAUAGUCUGCAUGAGAAACUGCCGGGCUUGAGUAUGGGAGAGGUGAGUGGAAUUCCUGGUGUAGCGGUGAAAUGCGCAGAUAUCAGGAAGAACACCCGUGGCUAAGGCGGCUCUCUAGUACGGUACUGACGCUGAGACGCGAAAGCGUGGGGAGCGAACAGG